rnacentral:rRNA from 1 species
CUGAUUAGGUAGUUGGCGGGGUAACGGCCCAACAAGCCGACGAUCAGUAGCCGACCUGAGAGGGUGACCGGCCACAUUGGGAUUGAGACACGGCCCAGACUCCUACGGGAGGCAGCAGUGGGGAAUAUUGCACAAUGGGGGAAACCCUGAUGCAGCGACGCCGCGUGAGCGAUGAAGUAUUUCGGUAUGUAAAGCUCUAUCAGCAGGGAAGAAAAUGACGGUACCUGACUAAGAAGCCCCGGCUAACUACGUGCCAGCAGCCGCGGUAAUACGUAGGGGGCAAGCGUUAUCCGGAUUUACUGGGUGUAAAGGGAGCGUAGACGGCGGUGCAAGCCAGAUGUGAAAGCCCGGGGCUCAACCCCGGGACUGCAUUUGGAACUGUGCUGCUAGAGUGUCGGAGAGGCAGGCGGAAUUCCUAGUGUAGCGGUGAAAUGCGUAGAUAUUAGGAGGAACACCAGUGGCGAAGGCGGCCUGCUGGACGAUGACUGACGUUGAGGCUCGAAAGCGUGGGGAGCAAACAGGAUUAGAUACCCUGGUAGUCCACGCCGUAAACGAUGACUACUAGGUGUCGGGCAGCAAAGCUGUUCG